rnacentral:rRNA from 1 species
GAAGGCAGCCCCCUGGGAUGACACUGACGCUCAUGUACGAAAGCGUGGGUAGCAAACAGGAUUAGAUACCCUGGUAGUCCACGCCCUAAACGAUGUCAACUGGUUGUUGGGGGAGUGAAAUCCCUUAGUAACGAAGCUAACGCGUGAAGUUGACCGCCUGGGGAGUACGGUCGCAAGAUUAAAACUCAAAGGAAUUGACGGGGACCCGCACAAGCGGUGGAUGAUGUGGAUUAAUUCGAUGCAACGCGAAAAACCUUACCUACCCUUGACAUGUCCAGGAUCCUGCAGAGAUGCGGGAGUGCCCGAAAGGGAAUUGGAACACAGGUGCUGCAUGGCUGUCGUCAGCUCGUGUCGUGAGAUGUUGGGUUAAGUCCCGCAACGAGCGCAACCCUUAUCAUUAGUUGCUACGCAAGGGCACUCUAAUGAGACUGCCGGUGACAAACCGGAGGAAGGUGGGGAUGACGUCAAGUCCUCAUGGCCCUUAUGGGUAGGGCUUCACACGUCAUACAAUGGUCGGUACAGAGGGUUGCCAAGCCGCGAGGUGGAGCCAAUCCCAGAAAGCCGAUCGUAGUCCGGAUUGUUCUCUGCAACUCGAGAGCAUGAAGUCGGAAUCGCUAGUAAUCGCGGAUCAGCAUGUCGCGGUGAAUACGUUCCCGGGUCUUGUAC